UCUGCCCCUCUUCUGCUGUACCCUUGACGGUAGCACUUAGAGUCAAUACCUCUUCUCAUGUUGACUUAACACUCUGUAAGGUAAUGAAAUCAAAUUUAUUGCUCUCAGGAUGAUAAAUGGGUUAUUAAGGUGUUCGACCAAGGAACCAGUUGAGAUAUUUUGAUCAUUACUCAAAUAUUGACUUUUUCUCUUUAAAAGACUAAGAUUUUUCAUAGUGUUGGAAUACCAGUUCUCAUGUUGACUUAACACUCCGCUUGUCUCGUGAUGGGAAAGAGCAUCUUGAUAUCAGGAUGAUUACAAGAAUAUUAAUGCAUUUGAUCGAGCAACCGGUUUUCGUUAUUGGGGCAGCUUUUAUCUUGUUGAUCUUGGGUGGGUUACAAUAUGUACCACCCCUUAAGUUUGGUAAACAUAGUGUAUGUAACAAGAGUGUAUAGCAUACAGCAUGUACACAGAACUACAUGGAGGGGUAUUGCAUAAACCAAGGAAGAGCAUCACCAUUACAGUCCACUUAUGUGGAGGAGUAACCUUCCUCACGCAGCCAGCUUGAGCUUAAUGAAAACCGUAAUGAAAAUUAAAAUUAAAACUUUUGUGGCACUCCGGCAUCCCAAAAACAUGCGUGGUAGGUUGAUUGAGGACUCUAAAUUGCCCCUAGGUGUGAAUGUGAGAGAGAAUGGUUGUUUGUUUCUAUGUGCCCUGCGAUUGACUGGUGACCGGUUCAGGGUGUACCCCGCCUCCCGCCCGAAGACAGCUUAUCCUGCGACACGCGUUAGGAUAAGCGGUAAAGAAAAUGGAUGAACGGAUGUUUGUGGCAGUUCACAUACCAUUUUUAAAUUGCACUACAGGACGAGUAGAAAUUGGACGUCAACAUUUGAUGAAGCAAACAUGUCGUUAGACAUGUAGUGGACUGUUCAUGGUCCUCAUGUAGAACUAUGAAAUGUUUCUGACAAUACUUGAGAUAAGAUGAACUUGUAGUCCCAUUCGGUUGCUUGAUCAAAGAUAAUGUUCUGUUAAUUAUGCAGAGAUCAUUGGACAAACAGAGUCAAGGUGUUCUAUUCCCUCAUCAAACAAACAAUGUAAGUCAACAUGUGAAGAAGUAUUUAAGUGUGACCGUCAGCGGUACGGCAGAUAACUGCAACACAAACCUGUUGCUUCAGCUUCAACCUGUGGAACGAAAAGGUUAACCUACCAUGUCCAGGCUGCUGAAGGUGACGUUGACGGUGGCCGUGUGUGCGCUCAUCUUAGCCACACUGACGACCAGUGCAGAGGCCCGCCACGUACCUCCCUUUGUCCCUCCACCGUGGGGCAUCAUUGAGACCCAAUCCGGGACACUCACCGAAGCAAUACGUGGAGCGCCGAGACUUGCGGAGAAAGCAGACAAAUGGGGAUGAAUGAUGAAAUACUGCACAACGAAGAGAGACCAAGUUGCAACAGUACAAAUAAAAUGUCUGGCAAUGUAAAGGCUCCCAUUCAUGACAAAUAAAAUGGAUAGAAACUAUCAAACAA